CAGGGAUGCACCAAGAUGAAUAGGCCCAAAACAAUAGGCCCAUUUGUUAGAGCAGUAGCUUCUCUAAUACAUGAUGAGACAAUCAAGCCAAGCUGCCUUCGGCACAAAGACAUAAUUAAUCAAAUGGACAAAUGGUUCAAAAAUUGCUCUAGUAUAUUCUGUAGUGGACAGAGGUUUCCAUGGAAACAUUGGCGUUUGCAUCACAGUUAAUGACCAUUCUGUACAAUGAAGGCUCCCCCUUCACACACACUUCUUUACUCCCUCUCCACUACGCCUGCUCUCCCCACUGUUCCAACCAUUAAGAAACACAACCUGGAGAAAAACAAACAAAACAGGGAGAACGAAGAAGCAUAAAGGAGAACCCUGAGUACCCGAUUUUCCUAUCAGAAAAUCUAAUAGUUCUAUUUCAGGAUUUAUAAAAGAGCUGGAUACCUUUGUAGUGUCCCUUGAAGACAUGUUCUUUUCCUGAUAUUUAAGUUUUUAUUUUUAAAAGCCUAUGACAAUGGAAUCCUUUGCUGGUGAGAAGCAUGAAGAGAGAAUUUCAAGGCUUUUGGAGUGAGGGUGGCCUAGGGGACAAGCACAGCAAGAGAGCUGGUGAUAUAUUUAAGACUUGAAAGGAGAAAGUAGUUUCCCAGGCCUGAAAAAUUGAAGAGCCCAGACCAAUAUACUGGAAGUGAUGGGCAUGCCUCCCUGUUCUAUUGAUGUGACACAAUUAUGUACUAAGAACACUGAAGAAUUGUGGAGAUUUGUUCUCAAUAGUCAAGUCCAUUUGUUCUCAAAUGCUCUGAUAUUUUGUCUUCAUAGAACAUUUCAUUUGUCUACAAAAAAGGGGAAAUAUCAGAUUGAAGCAAGAAAGUUCUGUCUGCUAAUAUUUAAAGAUGAUAUGAUAUUUGCAUGAAUCAUUGUUCUCUUCGUUAAUUAUUCUGUGAUGUCGAAACAAAUGGUGUGAUGCAUAAUGCUGUUACUUGGAUUAAGAGGCUAUGAUGCUAGUGCAAGAGUACUGCAGGGAAACNAAAAAGGGGAAAUAUCAGAUUGAAGCAAGAAAGUUCUGUCUGCUAAUAUUUAAAAGAUGAUAUGAUAUUUGCAUGAAUCAUUGUUCUCUUUGGUAAUUAUUCUGUGAUGUCAAAACAAAUGGUGUGAUGCAUAAUGCUUUUACUUGGAUUAAGAGGCUAUGAUGCUAGUGCAAGAGUAUUGCAGGGAAAAAAAAAAGAAAAUUCACAUUUCAGGUCAUGUUCCAUAUUUCUUCACUAACAAAAAAUUAUAAAUAUAACUUCAGAGGAAUUUUCCAAUAUAUUGAUAGUGCAAUAACACUAUAUAUUAUUACAAAUGGCUACCACCACAAAUAGAAAAGCAAUACCUUGCCUGGUAUUUGAGCAAAAGCACAGCAUCAAAUCUUGUCAUAUUGUAAAAUUAGUAAUUAAAAUUUUGGAAAUUUUGGAAAACAAAACUAAUUUUCCUGUGUUAUAUGUUACUGGAAAAAAGAAAUUAUAUUUUUAAAAGUAUUCCAUGGCUUCAAAUUUGAAGUCAUCAGUCAAAUAUUCUAUCAUUUACAAAAGAUGUGCAAGACACCUUUGGCAAUCAAAAGGAUCAACAUAGCUGCUGCUUAUCAAGACCUGUUGGUUUUAAAUAUGUGAUAUUCCAUAUAAAUUGAAUAUUUACAAAAGCUAAUUUUCAAUGAGUUGUUUGCAUUUUAGUUCACUACUACAUUACCACAGUUUUCAAAAUUAUUAUUUAUAAUUCAUGAACAAAAAACUCUAUUGACAUAAUUCCAGGUUUUUUUCCAAGGUAUAUUUUUUUUAAGUACAGAGCUUAAUUUCCCUAAAAACAGUCACAUAAGUAAUUAAAGUGGGACUAGCAUUUUAAUCCCUGUGGUCUGACCCCUUAACCACGGUAUAUGUUAUUUAUUCAAACUGAUUGUUUGGUAAACAGGCAGACUGUUAUACUUGGUAUUUCCGUUGGCUUACCUAUGGGGCAAGAAGAAACUAUUUAUCUUCAAAACACUAUCUGUCUUAAAGAUCUAGAUGCCAAAUCAGAAACAUGACUGAAUUGUUUUAGGCUAUUGGGAUGAUGAUUAGGAAGGUACUUUCAUGCAUUUCUGAGCUUAAAUUGAAAAAUAACAUUUUAUUUUUCAAUUACCAAAAGAAGGAAAUAAGGCAUAUUAAGAAAAACUGGAUUGUUGCUUCGAAAUGUGAUAUAAGAAUACUAUAACAGUUGCAACCAAUAUUUAAGUACUUACAGUGGGCUAGGCACUGUCUUAAAAGUCGUACUAAUUUUCCAUAUUAAUUUCUUACUAGUCUGUGAGAUAAGUGCAGUAUUAUACAGUUCCCAUGUGGAGAAACUGUGGUUUGGAAUGAAGGUGGUGCUAUGGUUUGAAUAUCUGUAAUACCUCAAAAUCAUAUGCUGUUGAUAUUUAAUGUCCAAUGUGAUGAUAUUAGGUGGGGCUUUGGGGAGAUGAUUAGGUUAUAUGGGCGGAGCCCUCAUGAGUGGGGUGAAUGUUCUUGUAAAAGAGAUCUCACAGAGCUCCCUAGCCCAUUUUACCAAGUGUGAAGACACAGAAAUAAGGUACUGUCUCUGAACCAGAAUGAGGGCCCUCAAACAUGGCCAUGCUGGUGUCUUGAUUAAGGACUUCCCAGCCUCCAGAACUGUGACAAAUCUCUAUUGUUCAUUAGCUAACUAGUCUGAGUAUUUUGUUAUAGCAGCCAGAAAAAAACUAAGAUGGGCGGCUCUCCUAGUAUCUAUUACCUAGUAAGUUACUGAGAUGGAAUUUAGUCAAUAGGUUUCAGAGCUUAUUUGAUUAAAGACCAUGCUUUCCCUACAGAAAAGGACAGAAGUAUCAUUUACUGUGCUAGAAUAUACAUGUGUAUAUGUAUUUAAUGAGCUAUUUCCUACUAUUACUCUAAAUAUUAUUUUGUAGCUGACAUGAAAAAAUUAGGUGCAUGAAAAAAUUAAAUAAUGUACUCAAUCUAAUCUAUAGAUCAGCUCUAUAAAAAGAAAACUGUAAAUUAUGCUCUCUACCAAUCCAAAAACCCUCCUCCAUUAAAACUCACUAAAUUCCUCAAACAUUAAUAUAGUACUUCUUAUAUGCCAUGGACUGUGUUGAACCAAUCUUUUAACAUCUUUCAGUCAGGAGUAUUUUUUUCAUUGUUUGAUGAACCAGACAUAAUUAUUACCUUCUUGGAACCUUGGUUUUCUACAGUUGCCAAAUUCUCACAAAGUUCUAUAAUUUUACCUUGACAUUUAUGGUGAUCAAAGAGAAGUGCCUGUUUGAUUAAAUAUAUUGCAAAUAAAAUAGGAAUAAGGGUUGCUAGUUUUUGAUAA
rnacentral:lncRNA from 1 species